rnacentral:misc_RNA from 1 species
UCAUUAUUGAUAUUAAUUGUCUACCUUCAGUGCUGGCUCUUGCAUGUGCACGUUGGGGACAUAUAUCCAAUACCCUCUUGUGAACCAUUGGCCUUUGCUAGCUUCGGCUGGUAAAGGAUUUUACACACAUGAAUGUAAUGAAAUAAUCUUGUGCUGAGCACUAAAUAUACAACUUUCAACAACGGAUCUCUUGGCUCUCGCAUCGAUGAAGAACGCAGCGAAAUGCGAUAAGUAAUGUGAAUUGCAGAAUUCAGUGAAUCAUCGAAUCUUUGAACGCACCUUGCACCCUUUGGUAUUCCAAAGGGUAUGCCCGUUUGAGUGUCAUUAUACUCUCACACUCUCUAAUUAGUUAGAGAGCGGUGGAUUUGGAUGCUGCCUGGUACUUACUGUCAGGCUCAUCUUAAAUAAAUUAGUGCGACUCUUAGUUGAACAUAGUACGGCGUGAUAAGUAACCCUCGCUGUUUUCUGUCUGAUUAGAAGCUCUGUGCUUCAAACCGUCUCAGGACAAUAUUUGAUAACUUGACCUC